rnacentral:rRNA from 1 species
AGAAGCUUGCUUCUUUGCUGACGAGUGGCGGACGGGUGAGUAAUGUCUGGGAAACUGCCUGAUGGAGGGGGAUAACUACUGGAAACGGUAGCUAAUACCGCAUAACGUCGCAAGACCAAAGAGGGGGACCUUCGGGCCUCUUGCCAUCGGAUGUGCCCAGAUGGGAUUAGCUAGUAGGUGGGGUAACGGCUCACCUAGGCGACGAUCCCUAGCUGGUCUGAGAGGAUGACCAGCCACACUGGAACUGAGACACGGUCCAGACUCCUACGGGAGGCAGCAGUGGGGAAUAUUGCACAAUGGGCGCAAGCCUGAUGCAGCCAUGCCGCGUGUAUGAAGAAGGCCUUCGGGUUGUAAAGUACUUUCAGCGGGGAGGAAGGGAGUAAAGUUAAUACCUUUGCUCAUUGACGUUACCCGCAGAAGAAGCACCGGCUAACUCCGUGCCAGCAGCCGCGGUAAUACGGAGGGUGCAAGCGUUAAUCGGAAUUACUGGGCGUAAAGCGCACGCAGGCGGUUUGUUAAGUCAGAUGUGAAAUCCCCGGGCUCAACCUGGGAACUGCAUCUGAUACUGGCAAGCUUGAGUCUCGUAGAGGGGGGUAGAAUUCCAGGUGUAGCGGUGAAAUGCGUAGAGAUCUGGAGGAAUACCGGUGGCGAAGGCGGCCCCCUGGACGAAGACUGACGCUCAGGUGCG